rnacentral:misc_RNA from 1 species
GUGAGUCAUCGAAUCUUUGAACGCACAUUGCGCCCCUUGGUAUUCCGAGGGGCAUGCCUGUUCGAGCGUCAUUAUGACCACUCAAGCUUAGGUGCUUGGUAUUGGGGUUCGCGGUCUCGCGGCUUCUAAAAUCAGUGGCGGUGCCGUCUGGCUCUAAGCGUAGUAAUUCUCUCGCUACAGGGUCCGGGCGGUUGCUUGCCAGAACCCCCCCCCAUCGUACGGUUGACCUCGGAUCAGGUAGGGAUACCCGCUGAACUUAAGCAUAUCAAUAAGCGGAGGA